AAAUGCUUCUUCUCCCUCACUGCCCCAUUCCCAGUUUCCUAGAAGGGGAAAAUAUGUUUUAGGUCUGGCUCUUCCAGAAGGGGAAGAUAAGUUUUAAGUCAGGCUUUUCUAGAAGAGGAAAAUAGAUUUUAGAUCCAGCUCUUCUAGAAACGGAAGAUAUGUUUUAACUCUGCCUUUUCUAGAAGGAGAAGAUACGUUUUAGGUCAGGCUCUUCCAGAAGGGGAAGAGACGUUUUAGGUCUGCUUUUUUCUAGAAGGGAAAGAUAUGUUUUAGAUCAGGCUCUUCUAGAAAGGGAAGAUAGGCUUUUGAUCUGCCUGUUCUAGGCUGGGCGUGGUGGCUCAUGCCUGUAAUCCCAGCACUUCGGAAGGCUGAGGCAGGAGGAUCACCUGAGGUCAGGGAGACCAGCCUGGGCAACAUGGUAAAACCGCGUCUCAACUAAAAGUACAAAAUUAGCUGGGCGUCGUGGCACAUGCCUUUAGUCCCAGCUACUUGGGAGGCUGAGACAGGAGAAUCGCUUGAACCCAGGAGUCUCACAAAAAAAAAAAAGAUCUGCUUGUUCUAGAAGGGGAAGAUACAUUUUAGAUCAGGCUCUUUUAGAAGCAUAAGAUAUGUUUUAGAUAUGGUUUCUCUUAAUACAGAAAGAUAGUUUUAGAUCAGGCUCUUUCAGAAGUGGCAGGUAUGUUUUAGACCCGUGUAUUCUAGAAGGGGAAGAUACAUUUUAGAUCUGUCUCUGAACCUUGAUAGAAAAGUACACCUUGGCCAGGUGUGGUGGCUCACGCCUGUAAUCCCAGCACUUUGGGAGGCUGAGGCAGGUGGAUCACUUGAGGCCAGGAGUUCCAGACUAGCCUGGCCAACAUGGUGAAACCCCAUCUCUAUUAAAAAUACAAAA
rnacentral:lncRNA from 1 species